UACAGAGGGGGCAAGCGUUGUUCGGAAUUACUGGGCGUAAAGGGCGCGUAGGCGGCCUGUUAAGUCGAACGUGAAAUCCCCGGGCUCAACCCGGGAACUGCGUCCGAUACUGGCAGGCUUGAAUCCGGGAGAGGGAUGCGGAAUUCCAGGUGUAGCGGUGAAAUGCGUAGAUAUCUGGAGGAACACCGGUGGCGAAGGCGACAUCCUGGACCGGUAUUGACGCUGAGGCGCGAAAGCCAGGGGAGCAAACGGG
rnacentral:rRNA from 1 species